rnacentral:rRNA from 1 species
AUGAGAUCGAGUCGCCGGUUGCUGCACCGCGCCUCUUCCGUGCCGGCGUCAUGGACUGGCACACCCUGGCCCCCAAGCUCGCGCCGCAGAUUGUUGCCAGCGCCCACCCCGUUGAGGGAGAAGGCGGCAUUGGCAGUGUCAGGCAGUUCAACUUCACCUCAGGUAUGCAUCACAUAUAAUUCAUGUCAGGCAGUAAUUUGGGUAAUACUGCCACUGGCUGUCUCACAUGGUCUUCUCGUUCAUCAAAUGGACGUUAAGACGACUUUCCUCAAUGGAGAGUUGGAGGAAGAAAUUUACAUGGAUCAGCCAGAUGGUUUUAUAGUACCUGGCCAGGAAGGAAAGGUGUGCAAGUUAUUAAAGUCUUUAUAUGGCCUUAAACAAGCUCCUAAAAAGUGGCAUGAGAAGUUCGAAAGAACAUUAACUGCUGUCGGCUUUGUAGUAAACGACGGUGACAAGUGUGUGUACUAUCGCCAUGAUGGGGGCGAAGGAGUUAUCCUUUGUCUGUAUGUCGACGACAUACUGAUCUUUGGAACAAAACUUGAUUUAAUCAAGGAGGUUAAGGAUUUCUUAUCUCGUUGCUUUGAGAUGAAGGAUCUAGGAGUAGUUGAUGUUAUCUUAAACAUUAAGCUGUUAAGAGAUGAGCAUGGUGGGAUCACACUGCUUCAAUCUCAUUAUGUGGAAAAGAUCUUGAGUCGUUUUGGGUAUAGCGGCUGCACGCCUUCUCCAACUCCAUAUGAUGCUAGUGUGUUGCUUCGAAAGAAUUGA